AUUGAACGCUGGCGGCAGGCUUAACACAUGCAAGUCGAGCGGGGUGAGGUGCUACGGUACUGAUCCUAGCGGCGGACGGGUGAGUAAUGCUUAGGAAUCUGCCUAUGAGUGGGGGACAACAUUCCGAAAGGAAUGCUAAUACCGCAUACGUCCUACGGGCGAAAGCAGGGGAUCUUCGGACCUUGCGCUAAUGGUUGAGCCUAAGUCGGAUUAGCUAGUUGGUGGGGUAAAGGCCUACCAUGGCGACGAUCUGUAGCGGGUCGGAGAGGAUGAUCGGCCAGACUGGGACUGAGACGCGGCCAAGACUCCUACGGGAGGCAGCAGUGGGGAAUAUUGGACAAUGGGCGGAAGCCUGAUCCAGCCAUGCAGCGUGUGUGAAGAAGGCCUUUUGGUGGUAAAGCACUUUAAGCGAGGAGGAGGCUACCUAGAUUAAUACUCUGGGAUAGUGGACGUUACUCGCAGAAUAAGCACCGGCUAACUCUGUGCCAGCCGCCGCGGUAAAAC
rnacentral:rRNA from 1 species